rnacentral:snRNA from 1 species
AGUUUUGCACAGUGGCAGUAUCGUAGCCAGUGAGCUUUACCCGAGGCGCGAAUAUUGCUAGUUAAAUAUUUAUAAAAACCUUUCGAGCAGCGCCUGAACAAGAAUAGGUUAAGAGGAGCUCCGGUAGUCUUGAGUUUGGGCUUGUCCC